ACUACCGAUUGAAUGUUUUAGUGAGGCCUUCUGAUUGGCGCCGCCGCUUCGGUUUCGUGGCAGCGGACUUGUCGAAAAGUUGGUCAAACUUGAGCAUUUAGAGGAAGUAAAAGUCGUAACAAGGUUUCCGUAGGUGAACCUGCGGAAGGAUCAUUACCGUACCCAAGCGUUGUAAAAAGUGCUUCGUGAGUUAGCCCGAGGGGCAGCGUUGCACGCGGGGGAAGGUGCGUCGUGGGGCCUGAGGGGGCAGCGACGUACCGACCUCUCUUUGGGCUCGCCGGAAGGCUCGAGCCCCGUUGAACUUAGCAGGGCUUCUUUGGGGUAGGCCUUCGAAUCUCUCUUUCGUUGGUCUUUAAAUGUUGUGCCGAGACUUGGGUGCUCUUCCUAACAUAUGUCUCCACCGUGCACGAAAGGUCCGGGGUUGACGUACCUGGCGAGCGUUUCGAUUCUGUCGCGCUGUGUGUGGCUUGCCACGGCAGACGGCACGUCGUGCGCUCAAGAGGGCGACUCGCACCUGAUUGCGUGUGGCGGUGGUGGCGGCGUUGGAAGACCCCGAGAAGGUACUCGGCCCCGUUUUUUUUUACCACUGUAUAUGUGCUUGAGACUGACAUGUCGGAAUGAAUGAAAAAAGAGAGACAACUUUUAACGGUGGAUCUCUUGGCUCGUGCAUCGAUGAAGAACGCAGCCAGCUGCGAUAAGUAGUGUGAAUUGCAGAAUUCAGUGAAUCAUCGAAUCUUUGAACGCAAAUGGCGCUCUCGGGUUCUCCCGGGAGCAUGUCUGUCUGAGUGUCGGUAUACCGAUCUAUCGCGCUACGAGCGCGGCGUUGAGGUGUCGUGGCCCCUUUGAGAGGUAGGCCGCGUCCCUUGAAGAGAAGGAAACGAUCCGGCGGCGAGGUUCGCGCGUAGAUCACCGGAGGCCAAAGACUGUUUUAGUUUCCCCCGGAAUCUGCCGCCCUCGCGCGUCGCUUCGCGCUCUCGUGACCGCAUUCGAUCCUCGACCUCAGAUCAGGCAAGACUACCCGCUGAAUUUAAGCAUAUCAAUAAGCGGAGGAAAAGAAACUAACAAGGAUUCCCCCAGUAACGGCGAGUGAAGCGGGAACGGCUCAAAUUUGAAAUCUCCGCUGCUUGCAGCGGCGAAUUGUAGUUUCGAGAAGCACUUUCUAGGCGGAUCUGCCCCGUCCAAGUUGCUUGGAACGGCUCGUCGUGGAGGGUGACAACCCCGUAUCAGGCGGGGCAGGCCGCUGACGAUGUGUUUUCGAA
rnacentral:rRNA from 1 species